AGAAUUUCAUUUACUGUAGUUUCCAUUUUAGUUUCAACACUUGAAUUUUACUCAAAGAAAAUAAUUAAAUGUCUCAUUCUCUGCUUACACCGGAACGAACACGUGGAACCUUAGCUUUCGGUUUCUGGUUUUACCAGGAAAGUUGUAGCUGUGACACAAAGUGAAACCUCUAAAUUUGUUUGUAUUCAAUUCCCAGCCGAAUUAAAGUGUUUAAAAAAAGUCUAUAAUCCUCAACACCUUAACAGUGUCAGCGGCAUUUACCGGAGGAUUAACGGCCGCCGCCUUGGCUUUUGAUCCCGGCUCCGUCGCGAGCGGGGCGCGGGAACGUCAUGACGAUCUGGCAGCCAAACACUCAGCCGGCAUUGAAGCUCCGACGAGCCGCAGAGUCUCCGUCCUUACCGCCUGCGAGGAGCCAUGAGCGCCUGUAAACGGCUGCUGUCCGACAUGAGGCCGUGGAGCUUCGGGAGGAGCCGGUGGACGAGCCGAGCACGAGACGGUAUGGUUGUGCGGGGAAAGGCCUUUUCGUCGUCUACCUGUCCAAAGGUGUGUGUGGUUGGAGGCGGUCCAGCAGGUUUCUACACAGCACAACAUCUCAUUAAGGCUCGACAGGACGUCCAGGUGGACGUUUACGAGCGACUGCCCGUCCCGUUCGGCUUGGUCCGGUUCGGCGUGGCGCCGGAUCAUCCGGAAGUGAAGAAUGUCAUCAACACUUUCACUCAAACAGCCAAACAUUCUCGCUGUAGUUUCUAUGGAAACGUAAAUGUUGGUAAGGACGUGAGCGUCGGCGAGCUGCUGCAGGCGUACCACGCCGUCAUCCUGAGUUACGGUGCAGAGGGGAACCGCAGCAUGGGCGUGCCGGGGGAACACCUGGCGGGGGUGUACUCCGCCAAAGACUUUGUGGGCUGGUACAACGGCCUGCCCAGCUGCAGGGAGCUGAAUCCGGAUCUGAGCUGCGACACCGCGAUGGUUCUGGGACAAGGCAACGUGGCUCUGGAUGUGGCCAGAAUCCUCCUGUCUCCCCUCGACUUCCUGAAGAAAACCGACAUCACUCAGCCGGCUCUGGAAGCUCUGGCAGCCAGUCGGGUUCGCCGGGUCUGGAUCGUGGGCAGGAGGGGGCCCAUGCAGGUGGCGUGCACCAUAAAGGAGCUCAGAGAAAUGGCGACCCUUCCAGGCACCAGGCCUGAGAUGACGCCGGCCGACUUUGAAGGAGUCAGAGACGCCCUGAAAGAUCUGCCCCGACCCCGGAAGCGCCUGACGGAGCUGAUGAUGAAGACCGCCCUGGAACCCCCCGGAGAGAAGGAGCGGGAGAGGUGGAGCGGCGCCUCCCGGGUCUGGGGCUUCAGGUUCUUCCGGAGCCCGGUGGAAGUUCUGGCCGACUCCGGCGGGAAGAAAGUAGCCGCCGUCCGCCUGGCGGUCAACAAACUGGAGGGUUCAGGAGAGGCGGCUCAGGCGGUCUGCACCGGAGAGACGGAGGACGUUCCCUGUGGUCUGGUCAUCAGCAGCAUCGGCUACAAGAGCCUUCCCAUCGACGCCGCCGUGCCGUUCGACCCCCGCAGAGCCAUCGUGCCGAACUCCAUGGGCCGCGUGCAGCAGGUUUUAGGUCUGUACUGCAGUGGCUGGGUGAAAACGGGCCCCACAGGCGUGAUCGCCACCACGAUGAACAACAGCUUCGACACGGCGCGCUCGCUCAUGGAGGACUUGGACUCGGGGAAGCUGGACGUGUCUGCAGAGAAGCCGGGCUCGCUGAGGAUCGCCGCCCUGCUGGAGGAGAAAGGAGUGAACCCAGUGGUGUUCUCAGACUGGGAGAAGAUCGACCGCCUGGAAGUGAGCAGGGGGGAAGUCUGUGGAAAACCGCGGGAGAAGCUGCUGAGCGUGGAGGAAAUGCUGGCUGUGGCGCGGUCCUGAAACCGCCGGAGCGACUCGGAGGAAACCAAAGAUCCUGCAUGACGGGAGGUUUUGCUGUCGGACUUUCUGAUUUAAAUCUUCUCCAACAUGAACUCCAGCAGAGGCUUUUCAUGAGGGAGAUGCUUCACACAGUUUAGGAAAUAAAGCAUCUCACUUCAUAAGAAGACCAUCGUCAACUGAAGCUCCGCCUUCUUUUGGGUCCAGACUGUUGCUCUUCCAGUUAAGGAGUCUGAUCUCAUCCCAGGGUUCCGGUUUGUGACAUCCUUUCUGUGUAACAAGACGUGGAUCAUCCUGUCUCGACUGCAGGUGAUGCUCAAUGAAGCAGAUUAACAGUAAACCACAAAUACAGCGUGAAGGGGUUAAAGGUGACCAUAAUUCCCCUGAACUAAAGCAGAUGUCAGCGGUAAGAUCAGACCCAGCUGGAGGUUUUGAGCGACACGAGGAACAUCUGUGUGAAAGAUCUGAGUCAGUUUAUGACCCGACGAGCUCCUAAAGAUGUUACAUAACUCUCAUAUCCGGUGACAAAAGGAGAAGUUUUCUGUUUGGUGAGGUUUGUGUUUCUCUUCUAACAGGUUUACAUGUGAAUAAAUCAUCUGAUUUCUCUUGA